UCCAAUUUAAGCAAUCGGUUAGUUUCUCCUGAAGCCAUACUCACACUACUUCCGUUUUAUUACCGACGUGUAUGUACAGCUGUUCGCCUGCAAAUACUCACUGUGAAGGGAUCAGCAGCAGGUUGUCGGCAUGAGCUGCUUGUGUGUGCUCUUUCUGUUAACUUCAGGGCUAAGCGGAUUUCAAAUAGCAAAUUGCCUUUCUCAUCUAGCAAUGAAGAGAGAAGAUAAUGCAACUCUGAGCUGUACUAGGCUAGAUAGCACCCACCAGGCCAUGUACUGGUACAGGCAAUAUCCAGGAAGGGGACUGGAACUGCUGUACUACGCCUAUGGGUUACAGAUGCUGGAGAAAGGAGACGUGAAGGAUCCCCGAUUCACAGCCAGCAGACCCACAUUAGAAAAGCUCUCUUUGGAAAUCAGAAACCUGGAGCCCCAGGACAGCGCCAUCUAUUUCUGUGCGAGUAGUGUAGACACACAGUGAGUUAUUAUAAGGGCAGCCUCGUACAAAAACAACGCAGACAACAUUGCAUUGAUGCAUACCUGUAAAGGGUAUCUCAUUACAAGGAGAAUUCCUUAUUUUGAGUCUUAAAAAAGUCCUUGUUCCUCAUUUUGCCCCGUUUUUUGUUCUCUCAUCCGACUCUGAUUUUGAUAAUGUCCUGAUUGUUUCUCAGAAUUUUGAUUCAGUUUUGUGCUAAUCUGAUUUCUUAGUUAUUUAUAAAGAUGCAAAAGCUA